rnacentral:rRNA from 1 species
UACAGAGGGGGCAAGCGUUAUUCGGAAUUAUUGGGCGUAAAGGGCGCGUAGGCGGCCUGGCAAGUGGAAGGUGAAAUCCCUCGGCUUAACCGAGGAACUGCCCUCCAAACUGCUUGGCUUGAGUCCGGGAGAGGUGAGUGGAAUUCCCAGUGUAGCGGUGAAAUGCGCAGAUAUCGGGAGGAACACCUAUGGCGAAGGCAGCUCGCUGGGACGUUACUGACGCUGAGACGCGAAAGCGUGGGGAGCAAACAGG